UCCGGCCAUAUCAUGUUGAAACACCGGUUCCCAUACGAUCACCGAAGUGAAGCAACGUCGAGCCUGGUCAGUAUCUAGUUGGGUGACCACUUAGGAAUACCAGGUGCUGUAAG